rnacentral:rRNA from 1 species
AUUGAACGCUGGCGGCAGGCCUAACACAUGCAAGUCGAGCGAGCGGCGGACGGGUGAGUACUGUAUGGGGACUGCCCGAUAGAGGGGGAGAACUACUGGAAAAGGGGGCUAAUACCGCAUACGGUAGGAGACCCCAUAGGGGGUUAGAUAGGAGGUAAGGUAAUGGCUUACCUAGGCGACGAUCCCUAGCUGGGCUGAGAGGAUGAUCAGCCACACUGGGACUGAGACACGGCCCAGACUCCUACGGAGGCAGCAGUGGGGAAUAUUGCACAAUGGGCGCAAGCCUGAUGCAGCCAUGCCGCGUGUAUGAAGAAGGCCCUAGGGUUGUAAAGUACUUUCAGUCGGGAGGCGUUACCGACAGAAGAAGCACCGGCUAACUCCGUGCCAGCAGCCGCGGUAAUUC